rnacentral:rRNA from 1 species
GUCGAGAAUUUUUCACAAUGGGCGCAAGCCUGAUGGAGCGACGCCGCGUGGGGGAUGAAGGGUUUCGAUCCGUAAACCCCUGUCAUUUGCGAACAAACCUCAUUCAAUAACACUGGAUGAGUUGAUUGUAGUGAAAGAGGAAGGGACGGCUAACUCUGUGCCAGCAGCCGCGGUAAUACAGAGGUCCCAAGCGUUGUUCGGAUUCACUGGGCGUAAAGGGUGCGUAGGUGGCCAGGUAAGUUUGGUGUGAAAGCUCGGAGCUUAACUUCGAAACGGCAUUGAAUACUAUCUGGCUGGAGGGUCGGAGGGGAGACUGGAAUUCUCGGUGUAGCAGUGAAAUGCGUAGAUAUCGAGAGGAACACCAGUGGCGAAGGCGAGUCUCUGGACGACCACUGACACUGAGGCACGAAAGCUAGGGGAGCAAACAGGAUUAGAAACCCUUGUAGUCC